CUUCCACUUUGUUUCAUUCUUCCUUAUUUUCUUUGUUACUUUUCUUAUUAUUCAAGAUUUAGGAGAGCAACUGUAAGGUCUGGAAAGAUUCAGCUCUAGAGGAACCUCACUAUCCACUCUGGAAGAAACAAGAACCCAAGGCAGGUGGCGCCACUGGUCCUCCCAGGGCGGUGUGUCCUGAAGCCUGAUGGUGAUUCCAUCCUCCUGCACCUGUUCCCUGACCACAGUCAAACCCUGCAGAAUUGGCUUCCUCCGUGCUUUGCACCACUGGCUUCACGCUGCCCGGCUUUCCUGAAGAACACUGAGUUGCUUCUUCUCUUCAAAACGACUGCUUUCGAUGCUUUUGUUUACACUGAUUUCACAUGGGGGUAAGGAAAAGGACUACAAAGUGUCAAUCAUUCUGGAAACAGUCCUGGAUUUCACAAGGU
rnacentral:lncRNA from 1 species